rnacentral:rRNA from 1 species
UAGUCCUAGCUGUAAACGAUGGGCACUGGGUAGAGGCGGUGCAAGCCGUCUCUGCCGGAGCAAAUGUUUUAAGUGCCCCGCCUGGGGAGUACGGUCGCAAGGCUAAAACUCAAAGGAAUUGACGGGGGCCCGCACAAGCGGUGGAGUAUGUGGUUUAAUUCGAAGCAACGCGAAGAACCUUACCUGGACUUAACAUUCAGUGCCAACUCUAGAGAUAGAGUGUUCUCUUCGGAGACGCUGGGAUAGGUGCUGCAUGGCUGUCGUCAGCUCGUGUCGUAAGAUGUUGGGUUAAGUCCCGCAACGAGCGCAACCCUUGCCCUUAGUUGCUACCAUUAAGUUGGGCACUCUGAGGGGACUGUCGGUGUUAAACCGGAGGAAGGCGGGGAUGACGUCAAGUCCUCAUGGCCCUUACGUCCAGGGCUACACACGUACUACAAUGGCAGAGACAAACCGUUGCGAAGCCGCGAGGUGGAGCUAAUCGGUAAAACACUGUCGCAGUCCGGAUUGAAGUCUGCAAC